rfam:Candidatus Kaiserbacteria bacterium RIFCSPHIGHO2_02_FTLL_49_16 rifcsphigho2_02_scaffold_11335, whole genome shotgun sequence.
CGGGCCGUAGUAUACCGGUAGUACAUACGCUUCGGGUGCGUAUAGACCGGGUUCAAUUCCCGGCGGCCCGA